ACGAACGCUGGCGGCAGGCUUAACACAUGCAAGUCGAGCGCCCCUUUCGGGGGGAGCGGCGAACGGGUGAGUAACGCGUGGGAACGUGCCCUCUUCUCUGGAAUAGCCUCGGGAAACUGAGAUUAAUGCCGGAUACGCCGGGCCAUAGGAAUAUGGUUCGGGAAAGAUUUAUCGGAGGAGGAUCGGCCCGCGUUGGAUUAGGUAGUUGGUGGGGUAACGGCCUACCAAGCCGACGAUCCAUAGCUGGUUUGAGAGGAUGAUCAGCCACACUGGGACUGAGACACGGCCCAGACUCCUACGGGAGGCAGCAGUGGGGAAUCUUGGACAAUGGGGGCAACCCUGAUCCAGCCAUGCCGCGUGAGCGAUGAAGGCCUUAGGGUUGUAAAGCUCUUUCAGCGGGGAAGAUAAUGACGGUACCCGCAGAAGAAGCCCCGGCUAACUCCGU
rnacentral:rRNA from 1 species